CCUGGGUUUUCUCUAGUUGCGGCGAGUGGGGGCUACUCUUCGCUGCGGUGCGCGGGCUUCUCAUUGCAGUGGCUUCUCUUGUUGCGGAGCACGGGCUCUAGGCAUGCGGGCUUCAGUAGUUGUGGCUCGCGGGCUCUAGAGUGCAGGCUCAGCAGUGUGGUGCAUGGGCUUAAUUGCUCCACGGCAUGUGGGAUCUUCCUGGACCAGGGCUCGAACCCGUAUCCCCUGCAUUGGCAGGCGGAUUCUUAACCACUGUGCCACCAGGGAAGUCCCUAGAAGGCAUCUUCGAGGAGAUGAUUUCUGAGCAAAGAUCAAAUGAAGCAAGACUGAGGAGAAUUCCAUGUUACAGUAACAGCAAAGUCACAGAUUGUCAAAGGAGUGAUCCUUGGGCACUGCAUCAGAUCUACUAAGUCAGAAUCUUGAGGGUGAAGCCCAGUAAUACAUACUUUUCACAAGUACUUCAGCUCUGCUCCUUGAUGUCUGCAGCCUGGUUGCUCCCCCAGUGCUCUCACCCACCAGCCUCACCCUGGAGCAGAUCCCAACCAAACGAACCUUUUUUGAGCACCUGCUGUGUGCCUGGUGGAUGCUGUGCAUCUUUGUGAAGCCACCCAAGUAGGUUUUCAGAAGAUUAUGGUUUAAAUAAAUAAAAACUUAUUAUUUCAGGCACAGGC